rnacentral:rRNA from 1 species
UAGGGAAUAUUGGUCAAUGGGUGAGAGCCUGAACCAGCCAUGCCGCGUGCAGGAAGAAGGCCUUCUGGGUUGUAAACUGCUUUUGCCAGGGGAUAAAAUAGCUUUGCGAAGCAAAUUGAAGGUACCUGGUGAAUAAGCCACGGCUAACUACGUGCCAGCAGCCGCGGUAAUACGUAGGUGGCAAGCGUUGUCCGGAUUUAUUGGGUUUAAAGGGUGCGUAGGCGGUUCUAUAAGUCAGUGGUGAAAUACUCCGGCUCAACCGGAGAGGUGCCAUUGAUACUGCAGGACUUGAGUACAGACGAGGUAGGCGGAAUUGACGGUGUAGCGGUGAAAUGCUUAGAUAUCGUCAAGAACACCGAUAGCGAAGGCAGCUUACUAGACUGUAACUGACGCUGAGGCACGAAAGUGUGGGGAUCAAACAGGAUUAGAUACCCCCGUAGUCCCUGAGCGGGCUGGCAAGGCGCAU